AUGGCGAAUGGAAUCGAUUUCUAAUCACUGUUUCUAAUAAACGUUCUAACCUCAACCUACAGUCAUAUAAACAGUUCAAUGUGAAUGGAUAACUUAUUAAAGUAUUGCUCCGUGUAAAGGAAUUGGUGACUUGAUAUGGGAUAUUAAAACCGAAUAAUAAUGGCCGUUCUUCAUAGAGCAUUGUUCACGUGGUUCUUGUUUUUAGUAUUCUUGAUUCUUCUUGUUCUUCGUUUGGAUUCAAGGACAAAUUGGAACUGGUUCAUAGUUUUCAUUCCUCUGUGGAUUUAUGACAUUAUUCUACUUGUGUAUAUAUUUUUCAACAUAAUGUCUCUUUGGAAAAAUAGACUAGAUAGGUUAGCGACUUGUGUCCACAGAAAACUCUGGUAUCUGGGUGCUAUAAUCUUGAAAAUGACAGCUCAAAUUAUCAUGUGUCUGAAAUUGCAAAAUCCGUCUAUAAAUCUCUCACUUUACUAUGUUAUGGCACCCGUUUGGAUACUUCUGCAAUUAUUGAUAAUUGAUGUGUUUUGGAGCUUGAUCAUUGGAAGGACUAGCAGAUACUUCUGACGUUCACGAACCUUGUAUCCAUACUGAUGGGAAUGUGCAAGAUCAAGUGUACCUCGGUGGUAGAUUCAUCAAGUUGCUAAUUAAGACUUCAUAUACGAUCCAAGUUUGCAUUGAGUCUAAGUUGCGGACAAUCAAAACGAAUCACCUCUUAGAAAAUAUGAAAUAAUCAAAUUGUAGCUAGUCUAGUUUCUACUUCAAAUAGAGUAUAAUUGUAUAAAUCAAUAUAAUAAUCUUCCAGUUGGAAAAAACGAUCUCUGUUGAGAUAUUUCCAUUUCAGUUUGAAGUUUUUUGAUUGCAUUAGAAUGUGAUUUGUAUGAUACCCAAAAUAACUGGAAUUAAAAAAUCACAAAACAAAGUGGAAAGGCAAAAAAUAAUUCUAUUUAUAAUAGUUGAAACUUGAACAUUUUUAAUUUAAGAAAUAUUAACAUUUUAAAAUUACUUUCUUUAGAUGGUUUUCUCAGGCACAAAUACAAUCUUGAAAUCUAUGUUGGAGAUUCGUCAUUGAUCUUUUUUCUCAUUGUGAUUAUUUGAUUACUUUCGUGGAGCUAACUAACUCAAAUCAAUAGUGUUGACAACGUGACCAAUAAAUGUGAUUUAAUUGAAAAGAUUUUCAUGAAAUCCACAAUUCCCCAGUUGAGAUGUUCCAGCGAUCAAUAAGGAAUCUUCAACAUACAUUUUAAGAAUACAGGAGGAAGUCAUAAAUUUUAUAUUUGAAAAAUUAUAUAAAAUAUCAUGAAUUUAUUUACAUUACGCUAUAAUUAUUGCCAUUUCUCAAAUGACAAGUUUUCAAGUUCCAAUUAUUAUAAAUAAAAAUAAUUUUCCUCCUUAACUUUCAUGAUUUUUCUCAAUUUCCCGUUAUUUUGGGUCACCCAUACAUCAGAAGUACAAGGAUCGUUCCACAAUCAAGUUUCACCAUUUUUUAAAGCUCAGUACGUGACAGGAAAAUUCUGGUAAUUUCAAAAACGUUCUCCGCACGUUUAGUGGCAAUCGCAAUACUGGCAUGAUUCAUUUGUCAGUUGGAAGCAAUCCAAUAUGGAUCUACCACUUACUUCUACCACCAAAUGAAGAAUGCCUAGUGCCGUCCGUUUUUUAACGGGAAUGCGACUGAAAUUCAGUUGUGUAUUGUGGCUAUGUAUUUAAACAUUUGGAGAGAGAGUUGCUAAUGCAUCUUGUCAAACGUAAAGCUACGGUCGAAAUCUUCGGACAUCUUCGACAAUGUUUGAGGCACAUGACGUGAAUGUGUAACCACUUCGUUGUUUAAUGUUAUUCUUCCUUCAACAGAGGAUUGGAACAAACGAGAAGCAAUCAGUUUUGACAAAACAGUUGUCACCAUACACAUGUCACAACUUGUGAUGAAUUUCAAUCGCAGUUUUAGGGCCAGUUUCCGAGCUUGGGAUCUAUAAGUUCUGGACUUACAGAGUCCAGGACUAAAAUAAGCGCUCGGGUCUAAAUCGACUUUCUGAGUCU
rnacentral:lncRNA from 1 species